AGCUUCUAUGGAGUUAGUGGCCAAAAUACACCUGUCCUGUAACUAAUAUGAAAUUCCAGCUCAACCGUCUGCACACCUGCAACAGCUGUGGUCAGCAGCGUGAAGAGCAGCGGGCUGAGCACACAGCCUUGUGGAGCACCUGUGCUCAGUGUGGUAGUGCUCGAGGUUUUUUGGUCGACGCGGACUGACUGAGGUCUUUUAGUUAGAAAGUCCAGGAUCCAAUUACUGAGGGAACUGUUAAGGCCCAGCAGGUGGGUAAGAGCCAGGUGGAGGGUGGAGGAGAUUGCAUCGUCUGUAGAUCGGUUUGGACGAUAUGCAAACUGGAGUGGAUCGGGUGUGUUGGGGAGGCUAGUUUUGAUGUUUUGCAUGACUAACCUCUCAAAGCACUUCAUCAUGAUUGGAGUCAGCGCUAUGGGACGGUAGUCAUUUAGACAGGACACAGGUGAUUUCUUUGAUACCGGUAUGAU
ensembl:lncRNA